rnacentral:rRNA from 1 species
UACGUAGGCAGCAAGCGUUGUUCGGAAUUACUGGGCGUAAAGAGUGUGUAGGCGGUGCUCCAAGUCUGGUGUGAAAUCUCCCGGCUCAACUGGGAGGGUGCGCCGAAUACUGAAUGACUAGAGUGCGGGAGAGGAUAGUGGAAUUCCUGGUGUAGCGGUGAAAUGCGUAGAUAUCAGGAGGAACACCGGUGGUGUAGACGGCUAUCUGGACCGUAACUGACGCUGAGGCACGAAAGCGUGGGGAGCGAACGGG